CCCUUAGAUGUUCUGGGCCGCACGCGCGCUACACUGAUGCAUUCAACGAGUGUACCUUGGCCGAGAGGCCUGGGCAAUCUUUUGAACGUGCAUCGUGAUAGGGAUAGAUUAUUGCAAUUAUUAAUCUUGAACGAGGAAUUCCUAGUAAACGCAGAUCAUCAAUCUGCAUUGAUUACGUCCCUGCCCUUUGUACACACCGCCCGUCGCACCUACCGAUUGAAUGGUCCGGUGAAGCCUCCGGAUUGGCGCGCACCUCGGUGCCGCCGAGAAGUUGGCUAAACCUUACCAUUUAGAGGAAGGUGAAGUCGUAACA
rnacentral:rRNA from 1 species